rnacentral:rRNA from 1 species
UAGGGAAUCUUCGGCAAUGGACGAAAGUCUUACCGAGCAACGCCGCGUGAGUGAAGAAGGUUUUCGGAUCGUAAAACUCUGUUGUUAGAGAAGAACAAGGACGUUAGUAACUGAACGUCCCCUGACGGUAUCUAACCAGAAAGCCACGGCUAACUACGUGCCAGCAGCCGCGGUAAUACGUAGGUGGCAAGCGUUGUCCGGAUUUAUUGGGCGUAAAGCGAGCGCAGGCGGUUUCUUAAGUCUGAUGUGAAAGCCCCCGGCUCAACCGGGGAGGGUCAUUGGAAACUGGGAGACUUGAGUGCAGAAGAGGAGAGUGGAAUUCCAUGUGUAGCGGUGAAAUGCGUAGAUAUAUGGAGGAACACCAGUGGCGAAGGCGGCUCUCUGGUAUGUAACUGACGCUGAGGCUCGAAAGCGUGGGGAGAAAACAGG